rnacentral:rRNA from 1 species
UACGGAGGGUGCGAGCGUUGUCCGGAAUCACUGGGCGUAAAGGGCGCGUAGGCGGCCUGGCAAGUCGAUGGUGAAAGCCCGAGGCUCAACUUCGGGUCGGCCACUGAUACUGCUGGGCUUGAGUCGGCUAGAGGCAGAUGGAAUUCCGGGUGUAGCGGUGGAAUGCGUAGAGAUCCGGAAGAACACCGGUGGCGAAGGCGGUCUGCUGGGGUGGAACUGACGCUGAGGCGCGACAGCGUGGGGAGCAAACAGG